GAUGAAGAACGUAGCGAAACGCGAUAAGUAAUGUGAAUUGCAGAAUCCAGUGAAUCAUCGAAUCUUUGAACGCACAUUGCGCCCGCCAGCAUUCUGGCGGGCAUGCCUGUUCGAGCGUCAUUUCAACCCUCGACCUCCCCUUGGGGAGGUCGGCGUUGGGGACCGGCAGCACACCGCCGGCCCUGAAAUGGAGUGGCGGCCCGUCCGCGGCGACCUCUGCGCAGUAAUACAGCUCGCACCGUGACCCCGACGCGGCCACGCCGUAAAACACCCAACUUCUGAACGUUGACCUCGAAUCAGGUAGGACUACCCGCUGAACUUAAGCAUAUCAAUAAGCGGAGGA
rnacentral:misc_RNA from 1 species